GACGAACGCUGGCGGCGUGCUUAACACAUGCAAGUCGAACGGUGAAGGUGGAGCUUGCUCCGCCGGAUCAGUGGCGGACGGGUGAGUAACACGUGGGCAACCUGCCCCUCACUUCGGAAUAACUCCGGGAAACCGGGGCUAAUACCGAAUACGACCUCCGUGGGCAUCCCGGGAGGUGGAAAGUUUUUCGGUGAGGGAUGGGCCCGCGGCCUAUCAGCUUGUUGGUGAGGUAACGGUUCACCAAGGCGACGACGGGUAGCCGGCCUGAGAGGGCGACCGGCCACACUGGGACUGAGACACGGCCCAGACUCCUACGGGAGGCAGCAGUGGGGAAUAUUGCGCAAUGGGCGAAAGCCUGACGCAGCAACGCCGCGUGCGGGAUGAAGGCCUUCGGGUUGUAAACCGCUUUCAGCAGGGAAGAAGCCGCAAGGUGGCGGUACCUGCAGAAGAAGCACCGGCUAACUACGUGCCAGCCGCCGCCGUAA
rnacentral:rRNA from 1 species